rnacentral:tRNA from 1 species
CUUCUAAAGGAUAGAAGCAAUCCAUUGGUUUUAGAAACCAUCCACCCU